GAUGAACGCUGGCGGCGUGCCUAAUACAUGCAAGUCGAGCGAACGGACGAGAAGCUUGCUUUUCUGAUGUUAGCGGCGGACGGGUGAGUAACACGUGGAUAACCUACCUAUAAGACUGGGAUAACUUCGGGAAACCGGAGCUAAUACCGGAUAAUAUUUUGAACCGCAUGGUUCAAAAGUGAAAGACGGUCUUGCUGUCACUUAUAGAUGGAUCCGCGCUGCAUUAGCUAGUUGGUAAGGUAACGGUUUACCAAGGCAACGAUGCAUAGCCGACCUGAGAGGGUGAUCGGCCACACUGGAACUGAGACACGGUCCAGACUCCUACGGGAGGCAGCAGUAGGGAAUCUUCCGCAAUGGGCGAAAGCCUGACGGAGCAACGCCGCGUGAGUGAUGAAGGUCUUCGGAUCGUAAAACUCUGUUAUUAGGGAAGAACAUAUGUGUAAGUAACUGUGCACAUCUUGACGGUACCUAAUCAGAAAGCCACGGCUAACUACGUG
rnacentral:rRNA from 1 species